AGCCAUUUGAAAAAGUUGGGGUCCAACUAUAAGUCACCAUUCCAAUGCAUUGAUCGUUAAAAAAGGGGGGGUCCAACCCCCCUGAACUCUCCCCUGGAUCCGCCACUGCACCUUAUCACUAUUUGUCCGCCAUUACUGGAUAUCACACAGGUUGUAGUAAAAUUUUGAAGUAAAAAAAAAUAUCUGAAGCCACAAAGGAAAAAUGAUUGUUGUAUUCGUCAAAAGUUCUAUGCAGUCG
rnacentral:lncRNA from 1 species